rnacentral:rRNA from 1 species
GACGAACGCUGGCGGCGUGCUUAACACAUGCAAGUCGAACGGAAAGGCCCUGCUUUUGUGGGGUGCUCGAGUGGCGAACGGGUGAGUAACACGUGAGUAACCUGCCCUUGACUUUGGGAUAACGUCAGGAAACUGGGGCUAAUACCGGAUAGGAGCUCCUGCUGCAAGGUGGGGGUUGGAAAGUUUCGGCGGUUGGGGAUGGACUCGCGGCUUAUCAGCUUGUUGGUGGGGUAGUGGCUUACCAAGGCUUUGACGGGUAGCCGGCCUGAGAGGGUGACCGGCCACAUUGGGACUGAGAUACGGCCCAGACUCCUACGGGAGGCAGCAGUGGGGAAUAUUGCACAAUGGGCGGAAGCCUGAUGCAGCAACGCCGCGUGCGGGAUGACGGCCUUCGGGUUGUAAACCGCUUUCGCCUGUGACGAAGCGUGAGUGACGGUAAUGGGUAAAGAAGCACCGGCUAACUACGUG